GACGAACGCUGGCGGCGUGCUUAACACAUGCAAGUCGAACGGAAAGGCCCUGCUUUUGUGGGGUGCUCGAGUGGCGAACGGGUGAGUAACACUUGAGUAACCUGCCCUUGACUUUGGGAUAACUUCAGGAAACUGGGGCUAAUACCGGUUAGGAGCUCCUGCUGCAUGGUGGGGGUUGGAAAGUUUCGGCGGUUGGGGAUGGACUCGCGGCUUAUCAGCUUGUUGGUGGGGUAGUGGCUUACCAAGGCUUUGACGGGUAGCCGGCCUGAGAGGGUGACCGGCCACAUUGGGACUGAGAUACGGCCCAGACUCCUACGGGAGGCAGCAGUGGGGAAUAUUGCACAAUGGGCGGAAGCCUGAUGCAGCAACGCCGCGUGCGGGAUGACGGCCUUCGGGUUGUAAACCGCUUUCGCCUGUGACGAAGCGUGAGUGACGGUAAUGGGUAAAGAAGCACCGGCUAACUACGUG
rnacentral:rRNA from 1 species